rnacentral:rRNA from 1 species
GACGAACGCUGGCGGCGUGCUUAACACAUGCAAGUCGAACGGAAAGGCCCUGCUUUUGUUGGGUGCUCGAGUGGCGAACGGGUGAGUAACACGUGAGUAACCUGCCCUUGACUUUGGGAUAACUUCAGGAAACUGGGGCUAAUACCGGAUAGGAGCUCCUGCUGCAUGGUGGGGGUUGGAAAGUUUCGGCGGUUGGGGAUGGACUCGCGGCUUAUCAGCUUGUUGGUGGGGUAGUGGCUUACCAAGGCUUUGACGGGUAGCCGGCCUGAGAGGGUGACCGGCCACAUUGGGACUGAGAUACGGCCCAGACUCCUACGGGAGGAAGCAGUGGGGAAUAUUGCACAAUGGGCGGAAGCCUGAUGCAGCAACUCCGCGUGCGGGAUGACGGCCUUCGGGUUGUAAACCGCUUUCGCCUGUGACGAAGAGUGAGUGACGGUAAUGGGUAAAGAAGCACCGGCUAACUACGUG